AUGCCUAACACAUGCAAGUCGAACGAAGUCUUCGGACUUAGUGGCGCACGGGUGCGUAACGCGUGGGAAUCUGCCCUUUGCUACGGAAUAACUCGGGGAAACUCGUGCUAAUACCGUAUGAUGUCGCAAGACCAAAGAUUUAUCGGCAAAGGAUGAGCCCGCGUAGGAUUAGCUUGUUGGUGAGGUAAAGGCUCACCAAGGCGACGAUCCUUAGCUGGUCUGAGAGGAUGAUCAGCCACACUGGGACUGAGACACGGCCCAGACUCCUACGGGAGGCAGCAGUGGGGAAUAUUGGACAAUGGGCGGAAGCCUGAUCCAGCAAUGCCGCGUGAGUGAUGAAGGCCUUAGGGUUGUAAAGCUCUUUUACCCGGGAAGAUAAUGACUGUACCGGGAGAAUAAGCUCCGGCUAACUCCGUGCCAGCAGCCGCGGUAAUACGGAGGGAGCUAGCGUUGUUCGGAAUUACUGGGCGUAAAGCGCACGUAGGCGGCUUUGUAAGUUAGAGGUGAAAGCCUGGGGCUCAACUCCAGAAUUGCCUUUAAGACUGCAUCGCUUGAAUCAUGGAGAGGCGGGUGGAAUUCCGAGUGUAGAGGUGAAAUUCG
rnacentral:rRNA from 1 species